GGCAACAUUUUUGUUCAAAGCCUGAAGAAUCUUAAAUACACGUGCCAAUACAUUUUAUUACCCAGCAGGAUACACAGAAAAUGUAUAAAGAAGAUACACUACAAAAGGCAAAGAAAUGAUCACAUCGAGAUGCUUGGCCAUUGAGCAAGUGGUUACCGAUCUACAAUCAAACAUAUAAAUGCACCAGGGCAGCGGGGACCUUUUUAUAAAAUAAAUCACACAUUCUUUAAAAUGCAAUGAACCAACUCCUAGUUUGCCAGUUUUGUAAGUUUUUUUUUCAUAUUAGGUUCUGCUGUUGCUGUUUCAAGUGGCACAUCUGUUAUCACUUGUAUAUUAAACUCUCAUCUUUUGAACAAUUUUUUUAAUUAAUUUUUUUUCUUAGAGAGCUCAUGAGCAGGGGAGAGAAGCAGAGGGAGGGAGAGAG